UAAAAAGUAAGCUAAAUUUAAGCUAUUGGGCUCAUACCCCACUUAUAGGAUAAUACCUCUUUUUAA
rnacentral:tRNA from 1 species